UAAGGGGUGACCUGCGGAGGGAUCAUUACAAGUGACCCCGGUCUAACCACCGGGAUGUUCAUAACCCUUUGUUGUCCGACUCUGUUGCCUCCGGGGCGACCCUGCCUUCGGGCGGGGGCUCCGGGUGGACACUUCAAACUCUUGCGUAACUUUGCAGUCUGAGUAAACUUAAUUAAUAAAUUAAAACUUUUAACAACGGAUCUCUUGGUUCUGGCAUCGAUGAAGAACGCAGCGAAAUGCGAUAAGUAAUGUGAAUUGCAGAAUUCAGUGAAUCAUCGAAUCUUUGAACGCACAUUGCGCCCCCUGGUAUUCCGGGGGGCAUGCCUGUUCGAGCGUCAUUUCACCACUCAAGCCUCGCUUGGUAUUGGGCAACGCGGUCCGCCGCGUGCCUCAAAUCGACCGGCUGGGUCUUCUGUCCCCUAAGCGUUGUGGAAACUAUUCGCUAAAGGGUGUUCGGGAGGCUACGCCGUAAAACAACCCCAUUUCUAAGGUUGACCUCGGAUCAGGUAGGGAUACCCGCUGAACUUAAGCAUAUCAUAAACCCGGA
rnacentral:rRNA from 1 species